UGGGGAAUAUUGGGCAAUGGGCGCAAGCCUGACCCAGCAACGCCGCGUGAAGGAAGAAGGCCCUCGGGUUGUAAACUUCUAUCAGCAGGGAAGACAAUGACGGUACCUGACUAAGAAGCCCCGCUAACUACGUGCCAGCAGCCGCGGUAAUACGUAGGGGCAAGCGGUUAUCCGGAUUUACUGGGUGUAAAGGGAGCGUAGACGGAUCUGCAAGUCUGGAGUGAAAGCCCGGGGCUCAACCCGGACGUGCUUUGGAAACUGUGGAUCUAGAGUGCCGGAGAGGUAAGCGGAAUUCCUAGUGUAGCGGUGAAAUGCGUAGAUAUUAGGAGGAACACCAGUGGCGAAGGCGGCUUACUGGACGGUAACUGACGUUGAGGCUCGAAAGCGUGGGGAGCAAACAGGAUUAGAUACCC
rnacentral:rRNA from 1 species